UUAAUUUUGAACUGAGUUUUUUUUUGGGUUUCUUAAUUAUGAGUUUGUAUUUCUUUUACAUGGUUUCUUCGUUUUAUUUUGUUGUGUUCUGAGUAGUUUUUAAUUUGUAUUCAGCUUUGCCUUGCUAGAUAAACCAAAUAACUAUUAUCCGAGGAAAGAGGUUAUAUCAAGUGUUCCUCGGAAUUUCCUCGGUAUUUCUUUAAAAAAUAAAAUAAAUAAGUUCAAUGGUAGUCUGUUUCCGAGUCAUCAUCACCAGAUGAAUUUGAAUCUGGAUCUUCGUGAAACUCUCCAAUCACUGGUUCAUCCUCUACGUGAACGACGGCUUCCUCUCCAAAGUCGGUUAAAUCGACUACAAGGCCAACUCCAGCUAAAUCUUCUGCUGCACUUAAGUUGCCGGAUGUGCUUGGUUGUAGUGGGUCUUCCAGCUCAGAACUUCCCUGAACUCGGCCUCUCGGGUUGAGUCUUGUAACAGUAACCCAUGGAUCAUCUCUGUUCCUUACCCGGGGGUACUUGAUAUAACAA
rnacentral:lncRNA from 1 species